rnacentral:rRNA from 1 species
AGAUUGAACGCUGGCGGCAUGCCUAACACAUGCAAGUCGAACGGGAGUAGCAAUACUCUAGUGGCGGACGGGUGAGGAAUACGUAGGAAUUUGCCCUUAAGUGGGGGAUAACCCGGGGAAACCCGGAUUAAUACCGCAUGACCUCGAAAGAGCAAAGUGGGGGAUCGCAAGACCUCACGCUUUUGGAGAAGCCUACGUCGGAUUAGCUAGUUGGUGAGGUAAUGGCUCACCAAGGCGACGAUCCGUAACUGGUCUGAGAGGAUGAUCAGUCACACCGGAACUGAGACACGGUCCGGACUCCUACGGGAGGCAGCAGUGGGGAAUAUUGGACAAUGGGCNCAAGCUGAUCCAGCAAUG